rnacentral:rRNA from 1 species
GAUGAACGCUGGCGGCGUGCCUAAUACAUGCAAGUCGAGCGAACAGAUAAGGAGCUUGCUCCUUUGACGUUAGCGGCGGACGGGUGAGUAACACGUGGGUAACCUACCUAUAAGACUGGGAUAACUUCGGGAAACCGGAGCUAAUACCGGAUAAUAUUUCGAACCGCAUGGUUCGAUAGUGAAAGAUGGUUUUGCUAUCACUUAUAGAUGGACCCGCGCCGUAUUAGCUAGUUGGUAAGGUAACGGCUUACCAAGGCGACGAUACGUAGCCGACCUGAGAGGGUGAUCGGCCACACUGGAACUGAGACACGGUCCAGACUCCUACGGGAGGCAGCAGUAGGGAAUCUUCCGCAAUGGGCGAAAGCCUGACGGAGCACCGCCGCGUGAGUGAUGAAGGUCUUCGGAUCGUAAAACUCUGUUAUUAGGGAAGAACAUAAGUGUAAGUAACUGUGCACGUCUUGACGGUACCUAAUCAGAAAGCCACGGCUAACUACGUG